UAAAAUUUAUAAAAUUAGGUAGUAAAGAAAUUUCUGAAACCUAAAGAAUUUGGCGGUAUUUUAAAUAAUUGGAGGAACCUGUUAUUUAAUUGACAAUCCACAACAUAUCUUUCCUAAAUUUUAUUUGUAUAUCGUCGUUUUGAUAAUAUUUAAAAAUUAUAAUUAAUUUUAAUUAAUUUCCUUAAAUCAGAUCAAGGUGCAGUAUAUUUAGGUUAUAAUGGGUUACAAUAUAUACUAUAUAAAUAAUGGAUAUAAAUUUGAAAUUAUAUUGAAAGUGGAUUCAAAUGUAAUAUUAAAUUAAGAUGUUAAUUUGAUUGAUAAUUUAAAAUAUGC
rnacentral:rRNA from 1 species